rnacentral:rRNA from 1 species
CUGGCGGUAGGCUUAACACAUGCAAGUCGUGCGAGAAAGUAUCUUCGGAUACGAGUAGAGCGGCGGACGGGUGAGUAACGCGUAGGAAUCUACCUAGUAGAAGGGGAUAGCCCGGGGAAACUCGGAUUAAUACCGUAUACCUCCUUUGGGAGAAAGAGGGCCUCUCUUUGAAGCUUUCGCUACUAGAUGAGCCUGCGUAAGAUUAGCUUGUUGGUGAGGUAACUGCUCACCAAGGCUACGAUCUUUAGCUGGUCUGAGAGGACGAUCAGCCACAUUGGGACUGAGACACGGCCCAGACUCCUACGGGAGGCAGCAGUGGGGAAUAUUGGACAAUGGGCGCAAGCCUGAUCCAGCCAUACCGCGUGUGUGAAGAAGGCCUUCGGGUUGUAAAGCACUUUAAGCAGGGAGAAAAAGUUGUAAGUUAAUACCUUACAACCGUGAUGUUACCUGCAGAAUAAGCACCGGC